rnacentral:rRNA from 1 species
UACGUAGGGUGCAAGCGUUGUCCGGAAUUAUUGGGCGUAAAGAGCUCGUAGGCGGUCUGUCGCGUCGGCUGUGAAAACCCGAGGCUCAACCUCGGGCCUGCAGUCGAUACGGGCAAACUGGAGUGUUGCAGGGGGGACUGGAAUUCCUGGUGUAGCGGUGAAAUGCGCAGAUAUCAGGAGAAACACCGGUGGCGAAGGCGGGUCUCUGGGCAACAACUGACGCUGAGGAGCGAAAGCGUGGGGAGCGAACAGG